rnacentral:lncRNA from 1 species
AGUAUCACAGAUAAUGAGCACUGGUUCGUUGUCUCCUAUCGUUUUAGCCCUAUCUCUACUGACGCCAAAACUACACCUGAUCGUAGUGCCUCUAGCGGAUAAGCUGGUGUACUGCAUUAGGAAAACGAAGAAAAUAAAGUAUAUUAGUAUUCGUCUUGCAGACGUAUAUUACUUCUGAUGAAUGAAAACAAGUUUGUUAUUUCUAGAUAAUUAAAAAAAACCUCAAAAGUUCCUAAUCAGGGGGAGUUGUAUCGGUUUACAUAACGGUGGACAGCUUCUUAUGGUUAAUAAUUGCAGCUUGAAAUUUUGACAAGUUUAGAUUUUUAUACCGGGUUGCUUCAAAAUGGAAUCUUAUUUGGACGUAUUCCAUGAUAAGUACUUCUUCAAAGCUAUCACGAACAAAGAUGUGAUCUGGUGAGUUAAAAUGGCUAUCUAUCACAUCCUCAACAGCACGGAAUGUUUUAAACAUUGCAACAGUAGCAUAUUUUAAUGAACCAUAACUUUUUUGGUUAUUGCAGGCUUCACAAGUUACACAUACUUCAUUGCGUGUGCGAAUAAUGUAUCCACAGAGAUCGUAGACUAGCUGAUCUCGUGUUGCAUCUGAUUUUCCAUCAGGCGACCAAAACCUCUCCCGCGUCCCUCCCGUCAACAUUUGCAUUUCGGAUCGCAACUUUGGUAGGGUUAUAGAGGGAAAGUAUUCUAAAGAUAUGGAGCCAAGAAUGUGCUGUUGGAUGGUCGUCAAUUGACCUUACUAUUCCGAAGAAAUUCUACAAAAAAUUAUUUUAUUAUUGACAAAUUUAAUAACAAAAACAUUGAUAUUUACCUCUAUAGGAUCUUGAUUGAAACGUCCAGUCAACACCACGUUUAAUCCUGCCGAAAAAAGUUCCUCAACCAAACCAAUGGCACUAUGAAUGACUAGUCUCCAGGCAACCAGACUAGUGUCGGACAUGAAUUUGAUGUCUGGCAAUUGAUGUCGGUCACGAGCCGGAUCAUUUGCUAUCUCUUCAGUUAUGUUAAGGAUAAGUAACAUCUUCUGUAACUUAUCUUUCUUCUUCGGCCAAGAUGUUUUGCUUAUUCCCUCUUUAGGAAAUCGACCGUUUAGAAUGUCGAAAACGUCAUUCAAUAAUAGGGUCAUUCGUUCAGUUGGAGCGGUAUCUGAAAAUGAAGUUUCAGGUUUUUCACGGAAAUGCUUCAACGCCAUGGCUACGUGUCUGGAAAACAACUGGGCAGCUUUACUAACAGUCAUUUUUUGCCAGUUAUUUGGAUUGAGAUGACCUUCUGUUAGUCGGAAGCACAUCCGAAGGCCGUUGUUCUUUUCCGUGUUGUAGAGUUUCAGGUAAUGUUGGUAGUCUACUAUUUCCGACGCAUACUAUUUACAAGGCAUUUUUAAAAUUGUAAUAUUUGUAAGAUACAAGAAGGAAACUAAUUGUUCUUUACCUGACAACGGCGGUGAGCAAAUAGAUGAUUUCGAACGCACUUGAGCAAAUGCGGCACGUCGAAAAAACACCAAAUCUUAAUAGCAGGCUCCAUUGGAUGAAGAAACUCCUUUAAUGUACAAGGCAGUAAUUGCUUUCAUGACUAUCCUAUGCAAUAUGGAAGCAGGCGCUGCUCCGUUUGUAGCAUAGGAGGCGAUGGGCUGUAUCCAGUUAAGGACAUAUGGACGGAAAAUAACGACGAGGGCAUGGUCCGCUAUGGUGUCACCAGGGCCAAUUCAUCCAUACCGAAAUGGCAAUCGGAUGAACUUAUAAGCUUCCUAAUCGUAGACGGUGCAGGGAGCGGAAGCAUCUUGUUGUUUCUUAGAUGCUUGUAUGCUGCAUUGUUCUUCAUCUUUAACAUUAGUGCUUCCAGGAGAAAAGAGGCCUCAUAUCGCAUUCCUUUGCCAUGCUUUUCUUUCUUCAAGGCUUUUCCAUGUGCAAAAAAUGUCCGUAUAACGGACUGUUGCUGUUAAUGAAAAUAGUUGUAGCAUUAGGGAUUAGGAAUUGUUGUAUUAUUUUAAUUGCAAAAUACAAUUGGUCAAAAACAUGA